CGGAGGGUGCAAGCGUUAUCCGGAUUCACUGGGUUUAAAGGGUGCGUAGGUGGGCAAGUAAGUCAGUGGUGAAAUCUCCGGGCUUAACCCGGAAACUGCCAUUGAUACUAUUUGUCUUGAAUACUGUGGAGGUCAGCGGAAUAUGUCAUGUAGCGGUGAAAUGCUUAGAUAUGACAUAGAACACCAAUUGCGAAGGCAGCUGACUACACAAAUAUUGACACUGAGGCACGAAAGCGUGGGGAUCAAACAGGAUUAGAUACCCUGGUAGUCCACGCCCUAAACUAUGGAUACUCGACAUUUGCGAUAAACUGCAAGUGUCUGAGCGAAAGCAUUAAGUAUCCCACCUGGGAAGUACGAUCGCAAGAUUG
rnacentral:rRNA from 1 species